AAAAGGCCCAUUAUGUUUAAGUUGUAUAACAACUAAAGCAAAAUGGGCAAAUAGCCCAAUAACAUCAAAGAGGCUGGCCAUUAGGGUGGAUGGGCAAACUUGGAUUAAUUACAAGUUUGCCACUCACUUGUAAUGAAGUAUAAAUUCAACUUUAUAGCUUUAUUUUCAUUUAGGGUUUUCUUAAAAGAAAUUGGGUGAAACACUUUCUCUCAUUUUUCUCUAAAGAGGCCGGCCACUUAGGGGAGGGAUAUCUAGCAAUCUCUUCUUCCCUAAGUCAUCCAUAUUGUCUUCACAAAAUACAUCCUUGGUGUGGAGACUUAGAGACAUCAAACUUUUGGUGUUU
rnacentral:lncRNA from 1 species